UACGAGGGGGGCAAAUGUUGUUCGGAAUCACUGGGCGUAAAGGGAGCGUAGGCGGGUUUCUAAGUCAGGUGUUUAAUCCCGGGGCCCAACCCCGGACAGGCACUUGAAACUGGGAAUCUUGAAUAGUGGAGAGGUCAGUGGAAUUGGGGGUGUAGCGGUGGAAUGCGUAGAGAUCGGGAAGAACAUCGGUGGCGAAGGCGGCCUGCUGGGCUCUUGCUGACACUGAGGCGCGACAGCGUGGGGAGCAAACAGG
rnacentral:rRNA from 1 species